ensembl:lncRNA
CUGUGGUUCAUGGGGUGGCAAAGAGUCAGACAUGACUGAGUGACUGAACUGAACUGAACUCUCUGCACUAAAAAUAGGUUCAAAAACCACGGGCCAACGUUCCAGGCUUUAUGAUGAAAAAUACUGAUAAGAAAGAGAAGGGAACAUACAUGCUCGGUUCAGCCUGACUUGCCUUCUCCCAGGCCUGAUUCCUGAUAACCAGCACCCAUGGGAGUCACCUGGUCUCAGGCCCAGCCCAGCUUCUUGCCCCCAGGAAAAGGCGAAGAACUUUGGCCUGCAAGGGACACAGACUUGGCAAGAGCUCCAAGCCCAGGGGCUCCAGAAGCAAACGGGAGACAGAAAUGAACGCGGCGAGGACCCAGAACCUGUGCCAUCACUAUCACACAUGCUUUAUUGCCUUAUCUUUUAUACUUUGGCCUAUGAUUCAUUUUGGCAAGACAUCCUGGAAUGCGAAGUUAAGUGGGCCUUAGGAAGCAAUACCGGAGAAGGCAAUGGCACCCCAUUCCAGCACUCUUGCCUGGAAAAUCCCAUGGGCGGAGGAGCCCGGUAGGCUGCAGUCCAUGGGGUCGCGAGGAGUCAGACACGACUGAAAUGACUUAGUAG